rnacentral:rRNA from 1 species
GACAUGCAGAGAACUUUACCAGAGAUGGAUUGGUGGCCUUCGGGAACUCUGACACAGGUGCUGCAUGGCUGUCGCCAGCUCGUGUCGUGAGAUGUUGGGUUAAGUCCCGUAACGAGCGCAACCCUUGUCCUUAGUUACCAGCACGUUAUGGUGGGCACUCUAAGGAGACUGCCGGUGACAAACCGGAGGAAGGUGGGGAUGACGCCAAGUCAUCAUGGCCCUUACGGCCUGGGCUACACACGUGCUACAAUGGUCGGUACAAAGGGUUGCCAAGCCGCGAGGUGGAGCUAAUCCCAUAAAACCGAUCGUAGUCCGGAUCGCAGUCUGCAACUCGACUGCGUGAAGUCGGAAUCGCUAGUAAUCGUGAAUCAGAAUGUCACGGUGAAUACGUUCCCGGGCCUU